rnacentral:lncRNA from 10 species
GGCCGAGCGGCGGCCGGCCUGGGUGGGAGGAAGGUUCUGUAACUUGCGGCUGAAUGCGUCCAAGCCAUGAGUUGUCCCCCAAGCUCGUGAGUUGUCCCCAGCUCAAUUCUGCCUCCUUUGGAGAGUGACGUCCCACACACCUGUGCAACCUUGCAUGCCAAAAGGACUUUGCAGACAUGACUGAGGACCUUGCAUGCGGGAGGUGAUCCCCACGACACCUGUGGACCCAGUGUCAUCAGGGUCCUUGUAAGUGAAAGAGGCAAGAGGACCCCAGAAGAGGAGGUGUGAUGACAGAAGUGGAGGUCGGAGUGACAUGGAGACGGGACCCCUGGCUGCAGGAUGCAGUGCUUCUGGGAGCUGGAGAGGCCAAGAGACAGACUCUGGCCUGGAGCCUUCGGAAGGCACCGGCCCUGCAGACCACUUCAGACUUCCGACCUCCAGGGCCGGAAGAGGAAGCUUGGUGUGGUUCUAAGCGGUGGCAUUUGUGAUCAUUUCUCACCGCAGCCACAGUAGAUGGAGGCAACACCCGUGGGUGUUUGAGGGAUGGAUGAGUGGAAGCAUGCGUGUGGUGGAGGCCACUGCACCGUCCAAUUCCAGACAGUCCCGAGGAACGCCCGCUGGCAGCCCUGCCUCGGCUGUUGAGUCAUUAUGUGAUCUUGGGCAAGUCUGAACCUCUGCUUCACCACCUGUGAAUUCAGGGACAGGACUCAGUGGUCUUUCUCGGUCUUUCCAGGCCCUCAAGUCCUGGAGGGCACUGUGGGAGUGUGAGGUGGAGCCCGGGAGUCCCGCGGAUGGAGAUGAAAAUGCCAGCCCUGCUAGAUCCAGGCGGGAUGGAGUGUGGGGUGUGGGCACAGUGGCUUGUACAGGCCUGGGCUGGGCAGACUUGCCCCGGAGUCUCAGGCCACUGCGGAAGGAGGACGCGUGGCCAGCAGGUGCCACCAGGAGAGGAGAGGAGGGCCAGGCUGAGCUGCAUCUCUGGACUCCAAGGAGAGCUUGGAGAGGUGACUGAAACCCUGCCCCACCCCCAGCCUGUCUCCAUCUGUGGGUCCUUGGGCAAAUUGCCUCAUCUCUCUGAGCCUCGAAUGCGUAGCUUUCAGGACUAACUAGGGUACUGUGUACCAACUGCCUCUGCCAACGCCCCUGCACUGGGCAGCCCUGGGUACCUGGCUUGGGGGAGGAGUAGGCCUGGGAGGAGACUGAUGCUACAUUUCUCUUUAUCUAUCCCUGUAUUGUUUAAUUUGUUCCAAGUGCUUGAGUUACUUUGGCAAAUAGAAACAAUUCUAAUAAAGAGAACUAAGACCUUAGGAUCCCUGGCGCGUAGCAAGCUCUCGGCAAAUCGCAGUUGACCCUCCUCUUCCUCUUCCC